rnacentral:rRNA from 1 species
GAAGCCAUGCAUGCCCGCUCACCCGGGACGCGGCGGACGGCUCAGGACAACGGUUGCACCCCCCGCGGCGGUCCCUGCUAGCCGGACACCGCUGGCAACCCGGCGCCAAGACGUGCGCGCAAGGGCGGGCGCCCGCGGG